UGGUGGGUAGUUUGACUGGGGCGGUCUCCUCCUAAAGAGUAACGGAGGAGCACGAAGGUUGGCUAAUCCUGGUCGGACAUCAGGAGGUUAGUGCAAUGGCAUAAGCCAGCUUGACUGCGAGCGUGACGGCGCGAGCAGGUGCGAAAGCAGGUCAUAGUGAUCCGGUGGUUCUGAAUGGAAGGGCCAUCGCUCAACGGAUAAAAGGUACUCCGGGGAUAACAGGCUGAUACCGCCCAAGAGUUCAUAUCGACGGCGGUGUUUGGCACCUCGAUGUCGGCUCAUCACAUCCUGGGGCUGAAGUAGGUCCCAAGGGUAUGGCUGUUCGCCAUUUAAAGUGGUACGCGAGCUGGGUUUAGAACGUCGUGAGACAGUUCGGUCCCUAUCUGCCGUGGGCGCUGGAGAACUGAGGGGGGCUGCUCCUAGUACGAGAGGACCGGAGUGGACGCAUCACUGGUGUUCGGGUUGUCAUGCCAAUGGCACUGCCCGGUAGCUAAAUGCGGAAGAGAUAAGUGCUGAAAGCAUCUAAGCACGAAACUUGCCCCGAGAUGAGUUCUCCCUGAGACUUUAGGUCUCCUGAAGGAACGUUGAAGACGACGACGUUGAUAGGCCGGGUGUGUA
rnacentral:rRNA from 1 species